rnacentral:rRNA from 1 species
UACAGAGGGUGCAAGCGUUGUUCGGAAUUAUUGGGCGUAAAGCGCGUGUAGGCGGCUUUGCAAGUCGGAUGUGAAAGCCCUCGGCUCAACCGUGGAAGUGCGUUCGAAACUGCAGAGCUUGAGUACCGGAGAGGGUGGCGGAAUUCCCCAAGUAGAGGUGAAAUUCGUAGAUAUCGAGAAGAACACCGGUGGCGAAGGCGGCCAACUGGACGGUGACUGACACUGAGACGCGAAAGCGUGGGGAGCAAACAGG